GGCCAACGUGGUGUAGUGGUUUGAGUGUUGGACUAUAACUGGAGACCAGGGUUCAAAUCCCAGCUUAGCCA